rnacentral:misc_RNA from 1 species
AAGAAGGCAACACAACUCUGGGAAAGCAUUCAAAAUAUAAUUAAAUAGCAGAGCCAGAAGCACAAACAAGUCAAAUAACAAAUAUGCAUGUGUGUUCUAUGCCGUGGGCCAUGACAAGCUACUUGAGCUGAUGAAACUCGGAUUAAAAACAAAAACAAGCGAACAGCACAAAAAAAAAAAAAAAAACAACUUAAUAACAACAACAGCAAAAGCGAAUACAAAUACACAUAUCCAAGGUGUGACACGAAGCAGCCACCAAUCCUCGCACGCAAUAAAAUGCGCUGUCGACGAGCAGCUGAAGGAGCCACAGCAGCAGGAGGAGGAGCAAAGCCUGGCGCAAAAGUUGUUGCCAGGAGGGGCAGCGGAUUUGCUGCUGGAUCUGGAGUCAAGGGAGCUGGCAGCGUACUGCUGGCAUUUCUGGCAGCUGUCAGCUUUCGUGGCAUGCGCACCCCACUGGCAGCAAGUGCGUCCACAAUUGGCGACAACUCAUCGCUAAUUGCGGCAACAAACGGAGCAACUGAUACCAAUCCGGCUUUCACGACUGCUACAACAUUGCUGGACCGAGUGGGCGUCAAUCAAUUGGCCAUUGAGCAGAGCACAACGGAACAGCAAACUGCUGCGGACAUUUGGAGCGAGCGACUCGAUACGGCAACUUUGACAAAGGGCUUCUCGAUACCCACGUAUUUGCCACCGUUUCCGGAUUUCAUUGCUGCUGAUUUGCCCCAGACACUGACAACGACAAUGCCGCACAGCCGAAUCCCCGCGGGCCAGGACAACGAUGCCAACUCCCUGCAAUCGGGUCUUAAUAAGCAGCUCCACUCCCAAUCCCAGCCCCAACCACAUAUGCGUCUACAUGCCUACGACAGUGAACAAAAGGAGCAGCAGCUGCGGCGAGAGAAGCAACUGGCACGUGAGCGGGAGCAGCUGCCACGGCGACAGCUCAGUCUGCCAUCCCGGAAUGUAACAGUACAGGCGGGCCAACAUGCCUAUCUGCCAUGUCAGCUGCAUCAGCACUCAAACAAGCCCCUCUCCUGGGUUCGACUACGGGAUGAGCACAUCAUAGCCGUUGAUCACACAACCUUCAUCAAUGAUGCACGUUUCGCAGCGCUGCUCCAAUCAUCGCAGGCAAAUUUCACAAACAGCCUAUUGGAAGCCACAAACGGCAGCAGCCUCGGCUGGACGCUGCUCAUCAAAUAUGUCAGUCUGCAGGAUACCGGCUGGUAUGAAUGCCAGCUGGCCACAGAGCCAAAGAUGAGCGCCAAAGUGCAGCUAUUCGUCAUAACACCCAAAACGGAGCUAAUUGGCGAUAAGCAGCGCUUUGUCAAGGCCGGCAGCAGAGUGGAGCUGCAUUGCAUAGUGCGCGGCACUCUGGAGGCACCGAAAUAUAUAGUCUGGUAUCGUGAAAAACAACAGGUCGUCGCGGAGAACGAGGCGAGCGGCAUUGAGAAUGGCUGGUACACUCAAAUCGAUCGGAACAUCUUUGGCAGCACGGAGCACAGUCGCAACACGAUUGGCAGUCUGGUCAUACCCGUUGUGCGUAAGACCCAUUCCGGGAACUACACAUGCGAGCCGGAAAAUAGUGAUGCAGUUUCCAUACAGCUGCAUGUACUCAGUGGAGAGUAUUCCGCCUCAGCAAUAAUGUCCACAGCUGCCGGCCUGUACAGACAUGAACAUGGUUAUAAUAGGCUCCAUCAAUGGCUAAUAUUUCUGCUGGUAGCUCUGCAUAAGACAUGAGCACAUGGUAUCCAAAAUUGAGGCAUUAUCUUUUUAAGGCAUAACAUUAAUUUCUAGAUAAAAAAUGUCAUGUCCUUUGUUAUUGCUAUUGGAAUUAGAUUGCUAAGCAUUUUUAACUGUAAGCAUUCGAUUAAGUUUAAGACUAAGGGAUUUGCGUAAAUAAAGCCAGAGGCGUAUUAAGUAAGA